rnacentral:misc_RNA from 1 species
CCGUUCCGGCUGCCGUACUGGAAGUGCGGCUGGAUCACCUCCUUUCUAAGAGAAAGAUAAACUAAGGCUAAUUCCAUUAACUCUUCCCUAUUCUUUUCUUUUGAUAAAAGGGCUUUUAAAGUCAAUGUUAUUUUUGCAAGUUUAAAAAAUUUGGUGAAAUUUUGUGUGUUAAAUUUUUUAUUGUUGGUAUUAAAGAGUUUUAUUAAACUUAAGCUUAGAGCAUUUUGGGGGUUUAGCUCAGUUGGCUAGAGCAUCGGCUUUGCAAGCCGAGGGUCAAGGGUUCGAGUCCCUUAACCUCCAUUGAGCAUGUGUCUUGAAUUGUGAUUCAUUAUGCUUUCAACUACUUUUAUUAAAGUAGUUAUUGGAAUGUAAAACAGAGUAAUUUAAGAUUUCUGGGUUAAAGUUGGGAUCUGCCUGUUGAUAUUAAUAAGAAUGCCUAUAAGCGAGGACAAACUUUUGAUAAAAAGCGAAUUUGUUUCUCUGUAGUACAAGGAUUGAGCAGCAUUAUAUUUUCCAACAGCCUAUUCUAUAAACGAGCUACAUUUAUUACUAGCUUUUAGUUAGGAAUUGAUGUGGAUUUCCAGUUGUGGUGCUUGGGAGGGAGUAAGCAUUGUAGCGAGCCGUCACCCUUGUUAUCUUUGCCAGUAUGUAAGGAUAUUCUAGACAAGACUGUUAAUUAUAAGUUGGAGGAAAGCCAAGUUUGCGCUAAAUCAGCAUGUUUCUUGUGACCUAGAUUAUAAGCUUGCCGUAAUAGCCUAAAAAAGCUAAUCAAAAUGUCAUAAAUCAGAUUUCAGUUUGAAUUUGUCUGGUACUCAAUGUUAUGAAGUUGGAAUCGCUAGUAAUUAGUAUGUGCUUUAACAUAGAAAUUUAAUAAAAUUUUGAUGUUUUUAUUAAUUAUAGCUUAAAUUAGUACUUCAGUAUUUAAAACGAUAAAAUACAUUGGGACCAGGAUGAGUGAACAUCCGACUCAGUAUAAGGCCGGGGA